CAUCCCUAAACAUUGCAGGUUUGGGGUGUUUUGGUCACCUCUCUUUCUGCAGGGAAGGCACCAGGAGAGGAGCUGAGGAGCCGUCAAGAAGAGGGACCUGAUGGUCGGAAACGUGGAGCUGACACAGCUUGGCCUUGGAGGACCUUCAAAUUUCGGGCAAGAAGGUUGCUGUUAGGCAGGAAAAACAUUAAAAGCAAAGAGGGGUUCAAAUAGCUGACACUUCUUAGGCAAUUACCAUUAAAGUGAGCGUUGGCACUGGUGAUGGGAGAGCUGAUGGGAACAUGCUGUUUUGGUCAGCACCUCCUCGCCGCGCCGGGUAACUGGAGCCCCGUCCCUCCUCCCGCGGCAAGCCUCCGAGACAAGCUCCAGUGAAAAGAACCGAUUAUUUCCCUCCCUAAAUUCUUGCGACUGCAAUUUUCAUUGCCUCCUGUCCAAAGCGGUUCUGGUGCAAUGUUAACGUGAUGGACGGCAGCUGUAUUUCACCCAGCUUGACUUGUUUGCAAGGGCCCCGGGUUUGUCAGGUCUGUCACAUGCUUUGAAAUACAAUCCUCGGGAACCAAACUAGGAAAGCUUACGGUUGUUUCCUAUUCCUCUUCUCACCCAAAUAUGUACAACCUCAUCAGCAUUACGCUGCAGCUGGUUGAGAAAUUUCCAAGAGAGCGUUGUUUUGUUUUGGUUUUUGUCAGAAAAUGUUGAGCUGUCAAAACCAAGGAUUUGUGUCGAAAUGUAAUCGUUUUGACGAAACUGUCAUCGGGGAAAGUCUCUCAGCUCUGGGAUGGAAAGCCUGAUCAAAACCAGACAGAUUGAGGGAGACAACCAGAGCCGCGACAGCCGGCAGCGCGGGGCGGAGGAGCCAGCACCGGCUGGGUCGGGGCCGUGCCACUCGGGGACCUCAGGGUGCCCACGGCGCAGGGCGAGCGCUGCUCCCACCUUGCCUGCUCUGCAAAACCAUCCUGAGACAGAGCGCACCGGGGAGCUCAGCCUCCGUGAGCCCGCUGCGUAUCACCAAGGACAUGCUGUCUGCAGGGACCAGGUGGUUUCUCCUCCCAGCACUGCCCACCUCUGCCUGCCCACGUCCCAGCACUGCGAGCACGCAGAGCCCACGGAGCCGCACAGCAUCCGGACACAUCUCCGCUCCUCCCCCUGGGACUGCCGGUGCUCUCCUGUUACCUCUCCUUCCUGAGCUUUGCUCAGGGCCAUAAAUAACAGCAGUUCCUGCCUGACAGUACGGAAAGCCACAAAGCCAGCGCGACAGGUGCAUACCCGCAGAGGGCUCUGGCCCCUCUCCAUGCACCCGCUCAGCUCCUCGGGGGCCAGAUCCUGCCGCCUGCGUCUGCGGGUGCACAGCGCCCGUCUGAGCGAUCUGCCAGACGAGGACAUUAGCAAUGAAAGAGGCAAUUGGCUUUGCAUCCGCCGGGUCUCGGUUUCACCAUCUGUAACCUGGGGUUAAUGAUGUCUACUUCAGGAAAAUGCUUGAAGAUCUUUGGAUGAAAAAAUGUGUGCAAGCGCAAAUUAUCCUGCUUAUGACAUGAGGAGGUUUAUGGCCUGCAUGGCUCUUAAUAAUGCAUUAAUUAUGCUUACAGUAUUAAAAGUGUUCUGUGAUUAAGCAAAUAAUUACAGAAAUAAAUGAGUAA